rnacentral:rRNA from 1 species
AGUGAACGCUGGCGGUAGGCCUAACACAUGCAAGUCGAACGGCAGCACAGUAAGAGCUUGCUCUUACGGGUGGCGAGUGGCGGACGAGUGAGGAAUACAUCGGAAUCUACUUUUUCGUGGGGGAUAACGUAGGGAAACUUACGCUAAUACCGCAUACGACCUACGGGUGAAAGCAGGGGAUCUUCGGACCUUGCGCGAUUGAAUGAGCCGAUGUCGGAUUAGCUAGUUGGCGGGGUAAAGGCCCACCAAGGCGACGAUCCGUAGCUGGUCUGAGAGGAUGAUCAGCCACACUGGAACUGAGACACGGUCCAGACUCCUACGGGAAGGCAGCAGUGGGGAAUAUUGGACAAUGGGCGCAAGCCUGAUCCAGCCAUACCGCGUGGGUGAAGAAGGCCUUCGGGUUGUAAAGCCCUUUUGUUGGGAAAGAAAAGCAGCAGGUUAAUACCCCGCUGUUCUGACGGUACCCAAAGAAUAAGCACCGGCUAACUUCGUG